rnacentral:rRNA from 1 species
AGUGAACGCUGGCGGUAGGCCUAGCACAUGCAAGUCGAACGGCAGCACAGUAAGAGCUUGCUCUUACGGGUGGCGAGUGGCGGACGGGUGAGGAAUACAUCGGAAUCUACUUUUUCGUGGGGGAUAACGUAGGGAAACUUACGCUAAUACCGCAUACGACCUACGGGUGAAAGCAGGGGAUCUUCGGACCUUGCGCGAUUGAAUGAGCCGAUGUCGGAUUAGCUAGUUGGCGGGGUAAAGGCCCACCAAGGCGACGAUCCGUAGCUGGUCUGAGAGGAUGAUCAGCACCACGGGAACUGAGCCCCGGUCCAGCCCCCUACGGGGGGCAGCGUGGGGGAAUAUUGGACAAGGGGCGCAAGCCGGAUCCAGCCAUACCGGGUGGGUGAAGAAGGCCUUCGGGUUGUAAACCCUUUUUGUUGGAAAAGAAAAGCAGCAGUUUAAUCCCCCGCUGUUCUGACGGUACCAAAAGAAUAAGCCCCGGCUAACUUCGUC